rnacentral:siRNA from 1 species
GGUCAGCUCCGGUAGAAACACUUA